CCUACGGGGGGCAGCAGUGGGGAAUAUUGCGCAAUGGGCGAAAGCCUGACGCAGCGACGCCGCGUGAGGGAUGAAGGCCUUCGGAUCGUAAACCUCUGUUAGCAGGGAAGAACGGUCACUGUGCUAAUCAGCAGUGAAUUGACGGUACCUGCAAAGGAAGCACCGGCUAACUCCGUGCCAGCAGCUGCGGUAAUACGGAGGGUGCGAGCGUUAAUCGGAAUUACUGGGCGUAAAGCGCUCGUAGGCGGUAUGUCAAGUCAAGGGUGAAAUCCCCGCGCUCAACGUGGGAAGUGCCUUUGAAACUGGCGGACUUGAGUGUGUGAGAGGAUAGUGGAAUGCCAGGUGUAGGAGUGAAAUCCGUAGAUAUCUGGAAGAACAUCAGUGGCGAAGGCGACUAUCUGGCACAUAACUGACGCUGAGGAGCGAAAGCGUGGGUAGCGAACAGGAUUAGAUACCCGGGUAGUC
rnacentral:rRNA from 1 species